UACGUAGGGUGCGAGCGUUGUCCGGAAUUAUUGGGCGUAAAGAGCUUGUAGGCGGUUUGUCGCGUCUGCUGUGAAAAUCCGAGGCUCAACCUCGGACUUGCAGUGGGUACGGGCAGACUAGAGUGUGGUAGGGGAGACUGGAAUUCCUGGUGUAGCGGUGGAAUGCGCAGAUAUCAGGAGGAACACCGAUGGCGAAGGCAGGUCUCUGGGCCACUACUGACGCUGGAGAAGCGGAAAGCAUGGGGAGCAACAGG
rnacentral:rRNA from 1 species